UACAGGGGGUGCAAGCGUUGUUCGGAAUUACUGGGCGUAAAGCGCGUGUAGGCGGCUAUGUAAGUCGGGCGUGAAAUCCCACGGCUCAACCGUGGAAGUGCACCCGAAACUGCGUAGCUAGAGUCCUGGAGAGGAAGGUGGAAUGCUUGGUGUAGAGGUGAAAUUCGUAGAUAUCAAGCGGAACACCGGUGGCGAAGGCGGCCUUCUGGACAGUGACUGACGCUGAGACGCGAAAGCGUGGGGAGCAAACAGG
rnacentral:rRNA from 1 species